rnacentral:tRNA from 1 species
GGGCGGACUGUAAAUCCGCUGGCACAGCCUUCGCAGGUUCGAAUCCUGCCCCCUCCA